rnacentral:rRNA from 1 species
CAGCCGCCGCGGUAAUUCGUAGGUGGCAAGCGUUGUCCGGAAUUAUUGGGCGUAAAGGGCUCGCAGGCGGUUUCUUAAGUCUGAUGUGAAAGCCCCCGGCUCAACCGGGGAGGGUCAUUGGAAACUGGGAAACUUGAGUGCAGAAGAGGAGAGUGGAAUUCCACGUGUAGCGGUGAAAUGCGUAGAGAUGUGGAGGAACACCAGUGGCGAAGGCGACUCUCUGGUCUGUAACUGACGCUGAGGAGCGAAAGCGUGGGGAGCGAACAGGAUUAGAUACCUCCGUAGUCCCUGUCUCUUAUAC